AUUAUGAUACAUAGUAUGACAUUGUAGUCUGUGGUGGAAUCUCUAAUCUUAAAGAACUUGGAGAAUAAGGGUCCAAGCCCCUUUGGUUUUUAAAAUCUCCAAAGAAAACUGUGUUGUUACUCUGUUCUGCCUGACUCUAUCUAUGACUUGGUCUUUCUUACAGCAUUUAAGACCUUUUCUUUGUUCUGUUCAUUCAGUGUUUGAUUACUAUAUGGCAUGGGGAGUUUCUUUUAUGAUUCUGUCUAUUUGGUGUUCUGUGUACUUCUGGCAACUUUAUAGGCAUCUCUUUCCUUAGCUUAUAUAAUUUUGUUGAAAAUAGCCUCUGACCAUUUAACCAGGAUUUUCUCCCUUUUUGAUACCUAUGAUUCUUAGUGUCCUAUGGUUAAUGCAUGCUCUGUUCUUGGAUGAUUUUAGUUUUAUUGUUUUCUUUGAUUGAAUGAUCCAUUUCCUCUACCUUGUCUGCAAACCCCUAUAUUCUCUUUUCCACUUGAUCUAUACUUUUGAUAAGACUUUCUUCUGGUUUUUUUAUUUGGCUUACUGAACUUUUUAUUUAAAGUUUUAUUUCAUUUAAACUUCAUUCACAAUCUUUAUCUUUUUAUUAAAUUGUAUUUUCUUUGCAUGGUUUUUACUCUGACAUUUAUUUGCAUCAUCUUUGUAUUUUUGAACAUAUUCAUAAUGCUGUUUUGAAAAACUUGUAUGUCAUGUAAGUUGCCUUUCUCCAGGAACAUUAACAUUGGGGUGCUAAUUUUUGGAGAGAAUAUACUUUCUUCAAUAUUUGUGUUUAUGAUUUUGUUAUGGGACCUAAGUAUCUAAAGUCACAUAAAUGGUAUUGCAAAUUUAAUGGACAUCUGCCCCAACUUAUUUGAAUCUCUAUAGGCUGUUAUUCAAAUUUGUCAGAUUUUAGACCAACUGGUUGAUACUUGGUUUUGAGCCUUUGGUCCAUAUAGUGUUGAUGUGCAGUGGCAGUAUCAGAAAUGGCCCUAUCCUAGCUAGGGCUAAUAUAAUAUAUGAAAUCAGGAUCCAACUUUACAUAGAAUGAGCAGAUUCUCACUGAAGAUCCCUAGAAGGCUGUAGAAGGCUCAAAGGACUCUAUUGGUAGUUGUUAAGUAGAAGCACUAGUUGUCAGUGGGUGGUGUUACCUGGAGAAGCCUUAUAAAACUUUAUGACUGGUCCACCAUUGAUACAUUAAGGCAGAAUGGAGAGUCCUUGGUCCUCUGACAGUGGUGUGAAGGUGGCUACCUGGGGAAGUUGUACUGAACUGUUCAUGGUCCUGUGCCAGCCCAGGUUGCAGGCCAUGGGGAAUAUUUCAACUUUUGAUAUAUGUUCUUCUUUUCUUACAGAAAGCUGGUUGUGAUGGUUUACUGGGGUCUCUUGCCAGGGAAGAUCAUUGUGGUGUUUGUAACGGCAAUGGAAAGUCAUGCAAAGUCAUUAAAGGCGAUUUUAAUCACACCAGAGGGGCAGGUUAUGUAGAAGUUCUGGUGAUACCUGCUGGAGCGAGAAGAAUCAAAGUUGUGGAGGAAAAGCCGGCACAUAGCUUCUUAGGUAACUGGCAUUGCAGACUCAGGAACUUAGUGCGAGCCUAACUCUCAGCUGCUGGGACUUAGGUGACAGAAGGAAGUCACUCUGUUUCCUGGUUCACACUUGAACUUCCAGGAAAGCAGAAAGCAUCUCUUUAACAUUAAACAAGACUUUCCUUUUCUCCCAGGGACUCCCAGGAGCAAAACCAAUUUGGUUCUCUGUUGAGAGACUAUAAAGUGCUUCCAAAUGUCAGCUCAUGAUACAAAACAAAACAAAACAAAACAAAACAAAACAAAACAAAAACCCAACCUCAUUAAAUAACUGUCAUGUUUUAUUCCAAAUAUAUGCAAAUGUAAUACAAUCCAUUAACACGUUUACUUCCUGUGGAAACAUGCAUGCAUAUGCAAAUACAUAUAUCUCCAUGUAUGAAUGCGUAGGUAUUUUUGUGUAAUGAUUAUUUUAGAAAUAGGAAAUGUUUGUCCCUAAAACAAGCCAAGCAUAGUUAAAUGUUUAAUCUUGUGUUAGGAUUCACUAUAGAAAAGCUCACCUAUGAAGAAAAUAUUUUUAAAGCUUUGACCAUCCUGGGGAAGACUAGAUUGCCAUGAUUGAGUUUAUGACCUUUUCCAGGAUUCAGGACAAUUUUGUGCACCACAGGCUACAAUGACAUAAUACAAGAGACUGGGCAGUCUACAAAUAAGUCAAAUUGAUUUUUCACUGUGGGGAGCUGGGUAAUCCAAGAUCAAGACCCUGGCACAUUUGCUAUUUCCUGAGGUCCCAGUCUAGAUUUGUAGAAGACAUUUUGUUUCCUCACAAGGGAAAAAGGUCUAGCAAGCUAUUGAGACUGUAAUGAAUGCUCUAAUCUGUUCCUGAGAGCAGAGCAUUAUUGAAACUUAAGUACCCUGGGAAUUUUGCACAAUGUUCAUAUUUAGAAACAUCUGCAACAUUGUUUUAUAGUUUACCAUAAUUAUUCAUUUCCAACCAGCUGCUUAUGCCAAAGCCAAGUGUCUUCCUCAAUCCUUAUCUUUGUUUCCAGCUCUGAUCUGAUGCGUUUGCAGAUCCUGCCCCAUGUUUAAGACUGGUGUUCUCCGUGUGCCCUUGGUGCUCCGUCAUGCUGCCCUGUUACACUUUAUGCCUUCCAUAGCUUGCGACGUCUAAAUUUCCUUAUUCCUUUGCAUUUACUAUGUGCAGCUCCACUGGUAACUGUUGAAGAUGUGUUGGUCAUUGCCAUCUCUGCAAUGACAAAAUUAACAUCUGUUAUGCAGGAAAUCAUCUUGGCAUUUCCAACAAAUUGCGUAAGGGAAAGAUGUUUUACACCUGUAGAGUGGUUGUUCUAGAACAAUCUGUAGCAUGCAUCUGUGAGGUAAAGCCUCUUACACCUGGGCAAAGCAGAUAUUUCUAUAAAAAUUCAGAGCUCAAAACUCCCAAUUAAAAAGUUCAGAAGAAAUAACAGAAAAGAUAUGUAUGCCUUUGUCUAGUGUCACAUGUCUUUUAAUCUGUGAUCCUGAAUUCAAAUCCGAAGUCUUAAGUUACAGAAUCCAUCUUUUGAACACAGAUAGACCAAGCUAAGUUUGUGUGUGUGUGUGUGUGUGUGUGUGUGUGUGUGUGUGUGUGUUUUAAUGUGAGUUGCUAUGUGGGUGCUGGGAAUCAAACCCAAGUCCUCUUCAAAAGCAUAAGUACUCUUAACCACUGAACCAGCUCUCCAGUCUUUGGCCUAAAUCUUUUUACUGAACCUUUUAAAAAAUUGUUGCUCUUCAUGUAACCAUUGGAAUUUUCUAAAGUAAAAGUCCUAAUCGAAUACAUGAUCCUUUAACUCCACACGUUACCUCUUUUCUCCUGUUUUAUAUUUAGGUAAUUGGUUGAUAUAAAUAAAGUAGAGGUAUAAAUCAUAAAAUAUGUUCUUCUGUGAUCACUGUUUACAGUUCAGCCAAUCUCACCUCCUCUUCUUUGCUAUAGAAAUCUGCCCAUAACCAAUCUCUUGUCAUUAUUUAUAUUUUUGCUGCUGCUGUUAUUUUAAGAACACAAUUUAAAAUUUGAGUCUUAUAUAUAAUAUGUCUUAAGUUUCUAUUGUAAAGUAUUGUCAGUUCUCAAAAUAAUGUCUAUUUUCUAAAUAGCACAAAUGCUACUUCAGAACAUUUUGCUUACCUUAUAUAUUACAAUAUAAACCAAGUGCCUGCUGUUCCUUUCCUUACUGAUGAAGAGUCCAAGAUGUAAGGAACGUGACCAACCAUUAAUAGACCAUGAGUUAACCCACUAGUAGACAAUGUGACCAACUCAAUCAACCCACAGUAGAGUAGGAAGAGGGAAAAUCAAGGGCUUCCAGCAACACUGAAGCCUGUGCAAAUGUGACUCUGGGGAGAGCUAGUAGGGACUCAAGGGUGACCUCUAGGUUUUGGUGAAGAGUAAUACAGAACACAUGAACUAGGGAAAAAAAAAAAAUCCUAGAUUCUAAAGACCCGCAAGUCGCAGCACAUCAUAAACCACUCUUCACAUCUUCACAUGGCUCCUUUUGGGACAGGAAGGAAGUUGUAAGAAAUCUUCAAAGGAGAUAAAUUUAGAAAAAUAAAUGAAAAUAGAAUUUUGGCAAACUGAUCACUCUUAAACAAUUGAACUUGUUGACAUCAAAUAUAUGUUGUAGGACACAUUUAAUCACCUCCCAGUACAGUUUUCUUUUCCAUUACUCUUUCUCUUAAAUAUAUUCACUUAUUAUUUGCUUCUCUGAAGAUUAUAGCAUUAUUUUGUUAAUGAUUGACCAGUUAGCCUAAAUUGAAUAAAGCAUGUGCUAUUAUUUAUAAAAUCAUUAUAGCUUAUGGGUUCC
rnacentral:lncRNA from 1 species